rnacentral:tRNA from 1 species
GGGGCUGUAGCUCAGUGGUAGAGUGCCUGCCUCGCAGGUGUGAGGCACUGGAUUCGAUCCUCAGCACCA